AACUUUCAACAACGGAUCUCUUGGUUCUCGCAUCGAUGAAGAACGCAGCGAAAUGCGAUAAGUAAUAUGAAUUGCAGAUUUUCGUGAAUCAUCGAAUCUUUGAACGCACAUUGCGCUCUUUGGUAUUCCGAAGAGCAUGCCUGUUUGAGCGUCAUU
rnacentral:rRNA from 1 species